rnacentral:rRNA from 1 species
UACGUAGGCAGCAAGCGUUGUUCGGAAUUACUGGGCGUAAAGAGUGUGUAGGCGGUGUCGUAAGUUUGGCGUGAAAUCUCCCGGCUUAAACUGGGAGGGUGCGCCGAAGACUGCGAUGCUUGAGGAUCGGAGAGGAAAGUGGAAUUUCUGGUGUAGCGGUGAAAUGCGUAGAUAUCAGAAGGAACACCUGUGGUGUAGACGGCUUUCUGGACGAUUCCUGACGCUGAGACACGAAAGCGUGGGUAGCAAACAGG